CAAGUCUCUCUUUCUCUCUCUGAAACACAACGCAACCGCUUCCAUUAAUCCAUUAUCCCAUAAUUUUAUUCUCUCUCUUGAUGAAACGUAAGGCAACUGCUUCUCAUCGCUUUUCUGAAAGCGACAGCCUUUGUCAUCUUCCGUCUCUCCUCUCACGUCUUUUACCUUUCAUCCACAACAAGAAAGUCGUUCCAGUUAACUCUGCUUUUCCAUCUAUUUUCAUCAACCACAUCAUCGAGUCGCGACCUCACCGAUGACCAUCGUAGCCUUGCAGCAUUGUUCGACCGCCGAUGUCCGGUAGAAAAGCCACCACUCCUGCUCCAACCAAUCAAUACAGAAAGUAUCAUAUUCAUCUCUUAUUUCUUUUAUACUAUUAUUCUAUUUCAGUCUCUUUAUAGUCUUAAUUAAUUUCUUAAUUUUGUUGAAUAAAGGGUGUUCAUGUGUGUUUAUAGGUGAAGUUAGGAAGUUAUACGAAAGCUGAAUUUUGGUGGAGUUUUGAGGUUUCUCAAAAAAUUUCAAGGUUUUGUUGUUCCAAUUUCUUUUACACGGUAGAUUUCAGAUAAUUUCUCUAUAUAUUUUCUGUAUUAGGUCUCCAAAUAUCUCAUCCACUAACAAAUUUAAUUUUAACAACUAUCAUGUCUUUUAAUCUUUCUCUAUAUAUCUUAAUCUCUCUAAAAAAGGUCUUCAACCAUUAGUUUGUUUGGACGACAAAUUGAAUAAAAUCUUCCUAGGUCAGUUCUCUACAGUUCAUUUUCGUUUCUACAAUAAAUAUGCUUAAUGAUAGUAGUAGUUUAUCCAAUUAGUCAAUUACCCAUAAAAUUAACAAUUUUGUGGUGCAAUGGUGACAUGUUUCUGAUUAUUUUUCAGUUUUAAUGCAUUUGGUUUUGCUUACAUGUUUCUGAUUAAGAUUUUUAGUGGUACAUAUAACGUAAUCAUGGAAUCACUGAAAAGUAGGAUCCUUAACCACACACAAGCAAGAUGGAGAAUAGAUCAAAUUGGUUCUUAAGAAGGAACUUGCUCAAAAUGAUUUUGCAACAAUAGUACAAAGCUGAAAAAAGAUAUUUGCAGCAUGGUAGACCUUUGAUGUCACAUGCCUGAUUAGAAAACGAGACAUAUAUAUAUCCCUCAAAUAAAAUAAUGGUGCUUGUGCAG
rnacentral:lncRNA from 1 species